AGAGUUUGAUCCUGGCUCAGAUUGAACGCUGGCGGCAUGCCUUACACAUGCAAGUCGAACGGUAACGCGGGGCAACCUGGCGACGAGUGGCGAACGGGUGAGUAAUGCAUCGGAACGUGCCUGGUAGUGGGGGAUAACUGCUCGAAAGAGCAGCUAAUACCGCAUACGACCUGAGGGUGAAAGAGGGGGAUCGCAAGACCUCUCGCUAUCAGAGCGGCCGAUGUCGGAUUAGCUAGUUGGUGGGGUAAAGGCCCACCAAGGCGACGAUCCGUAGCUGGUCUGAGAGGACGACCAGCCACACUGGGACUGAGACACGGCCCAGACUCCUACGGGAGGCAGCAGUGGGGAAUUUUGGACAAUGGACGCAAGUCUGAUCCAGCCAUGCCGCGUGUGGGAAGAAGGCCUUCGGGUUGUAAACCACUUUUGUCAGGGAAGAAAUCUUCUGAGUUAAUACCUCGGGAGGAUGACGGUACCUGAAGAAUAAGCACCGGCUAACUACGUGCCAGCAGCCGCGGUAAUUC
rnacentral:rRNA from 1 species